CCCGACUGCUGUACUCCUAUAUCUGAUCUGCUAAAGAAAGCACAGAAAAUGACACUUCGAGGUGAUCCUUGUGUUGGGAAGGCACAGCUCCCCGAGUUUUGGUUGAGAUGAGCAGGUCCUGAGGCUGAGCUCACACUACUGCAAGGAGGAGGGAGAGACCACUAGCAUGGCUGUGAGGGAGAAGCCAGCUGCCCCUGGGAAGCAGUGACACUAUGGAGCCAUUCUCUAGGCAGCGGAGUCCAGCUGACAGUGAUGCCAGCUGGGACUGUGGAAGCAGUGCUGGGGAUGUGAAUGGCGGAGCCACACAUUUAGAGGUCAUCUGUGAAGUCCCUCCACAGUGCACAGUUUUCUGUAAAUGUUCAAAUACACUUCCUUUCAAUC